rnacentral:rRNA from 1 species
UGGGGAAUAUUGCACAAUGGGCGCAAGCCUGAUGCAGCGACGCCGCGUGAGGGAUGACGGCCUUCGGGUUGUAAACCUCUGUUAGCAGGGAAGAAGAGAGAUUGACGGUACCUGCAGAGAAAGCGCCGGCUAACUACGUGCCAG